rnacentral:rRNA from 1 species
AUUGAACGCUGGCGGCAGGCCUAACACAUGCAAGUCGAACGAGUGGCGGACGGGUGAGUAAUGUCUGGGAAACUGCCUGAUGGAGGGGGAUAACUACUGGAAACGGUAGCUAAUACCGCAUACCAUCGGAUGUGCCCAGAUGGGAUUAGCUAGUAGGUGGGGUAACGGCUCACCUAGGCGACGAUGCCUAGCUGGUCUGAGAGGAGGACCAGCCACACGGGAACUGAGACACGGGCAAGACGCCUACGGAAGGCAGCAGGGGGGAAUAUUGCACAAUGGGCGCAAGCCGGAUGCAGCCAUGCCGCGUGUAUGAAGAGGGCCUUCGGGUUGUAAAGUACUUUCAGCGGGGAGGCGUUACCCGCAGAAGAAGCACCGGCUAACUCCGUGCCAGCAGCCGCGGUAAUUC